rnacentral:lncRNA from 1 species
UGCUAUAAAACUCACCUUCAGUUUUUAAAACUGUAGUUGCACUACAGCAGGAUACUUGUACUAUUGUCAGUUGCUCCAUGCAAAUUUAACAGGGAAUGCUCUAGCCAAACCAAAUGGCCAACUUAGAAAAAAUCUGUGUUUUCGACAUGCUUGUUAUUAUACUCUAACUUGUGGCUUGCUUCUCGUGUAGAUGUUCUACAUAUAUGUCAAAAAAAGCGGAUUUCAUGUGCCAGGAAGCGUAGAAGAUGUGAGAUUUUUUUUUUGGAAUGAGAAGAAUCAAAGGAUACAACAAAAAAUUCAGUCUGAAAUUUGAUUUGUGUGUUUACAAAUCUUUCCUUUAUGGGUAUUUGAAACCUUAAGAUUAUUCUGUUACUAUGGGAUUUUGUAGUGUCAUGGACAAGACAUACUGACACUGUUUGCAUAUCAAGAUUGUUGAUUUUUGUUUGGAAAUCAAGUUGUUUGAUAACUUUCAGUGUGUAUGCUUGUUGAUAUAGUGUGUAUGCUUGCUGAUAUUGUUAAUUCAAAUAGAUGCUGGUAUUGUUUAAAUGUAGUGGAGGUUUCAUGUGUUGGAAAGGAGGUGAGAGAGAAAAAAUAAGAUGAUGACAUCACAUAGAGUAGCUUCCAUUGGGUGAUAGUGGCAUACAACAAUAGCUUCAUUCAAAUUUACCUAUGUGGAUGGCUGGGGCAGCACCAAGGUGCUGCCUCCAUUGUACAUGCCCUAAGGGCAUGGCCAAUGGGCCACGCUGGACGGGCGCCCCAUGUGCCACCUCCUCCUGCCGAGUGCCACAUCAACCAAACCUGUGGCUUGCAGAUCGAAACGGGCUCCUGCAGAAGAACUCGCUUCUUCGCUGACGAAACCAACGAGGCGGCCGCUGGGGCGACGCGGUGGGAGGUCCGUCGCUCCGCUCGAUUCGGGACCACACUCGCCCAACAAAAUCCCGCGAGCGAGAGGGGAAGGGCGCGAAAGAGAGAAGGGAAGGGCGGGAAGGGGAGAAGAGAAGGGCGCGAACCAGGGAGCGGAGGCGCGGCGCGCAAACCAGGGAGCGGAGGCGCGGCGCGCGAACCAGCGGAGAAGGCAGCGCACCUCGUCCUCAACCUGCCGUCGACAUCCGACUGCAGCUCUUGCUGCAAGGUACGAGUCUAGUUCUUCCCCUGCUUCUUCUUGUGGUCAUGGCCAGAUUUAUUUUGCUCAGUAAACUAGGCUAGGGUUCCAAGAACAGAUCCGUUGCAAGAAGAUUGAUUCCCCUGUGUGUGAUUUUGGUUCAAUCUAUUUGAGUCAGGCAACCAUGCUUGUGGAAAUCCUGAAAUCCCCAUCUUUUUUCUUCUUAGCCCUGAGAGAAACAUGUCAGAUCAGCCUUGGUACUCUGCUCUUUGCAAUUGUGAAGAGAAAAUUAUGCUAAUUAGCUAGGUGCAGAUGCAGAUGGCUAGGUGCAGAUGCUGAUUUGCUAGCCCUGAGAGAAACAUGUCAAAUCCUGAAAUCCCCAUCUUUGUUUUUAUUUGCUAAUGGCUAGGUGCAGAUGCUGAAUUCUUUUGCUAGAUGUACUAGUAGUUGGUAUAUUAUUAGACUAGCAUAAUCACAGGGAUGCUGGUACUAUUAGUUGUUGUACUAGGUGCAGAUGUUGAAUUCUUUUGCUAGACUUACUAGCCUUAUUCAGGAAAUGUGACUGCCAUCAAGAUGUUUUGGUAUAGAGUUAAUUUGAACAGAGUUCUGACUGUUAUAACAUCUAUGUACGUUGGUCAAUUUGGUCCCUUGUGCUAGCUGCAUAUACUGAUAAAGAAAGAGUAGUGCUAGUCUGCUGAAGGUGCCAUAUCCGUGUUAUUUUUUUUUCUUUUUUUGAGAAAUAGCUGGUAGGAUUAAGAGCUUAGAACACUUGGACACUUUGCUAUCUUUUUAUUGUUCUUUGGUAGUUCCGAGUAUGCUAUUUGCACAUGAAUAUUAUUCUUCCCAUCCAAAUUAUAGUUUCAUGUGUGUUGUGUGCAUAAUUCUUAUUACUUGAUUUUUAAAUUGUAGCUCAACUUGCAAUAUGUCACAAUUGAGUUCCGAUGAGUUCGAAGAUGAUACCAUUGACCCAACAGAAAUUUUCUCUCUAGAAGAUUACUUGGCACAACAGAAUACUCUCAACAACUUUGCUACACAAAUAGCCACAAACAUUCAUCAUACACUAGAAGGUCCAAGUACUAGGCGUCAGUCAGCCCCUAGGACAUAUAUUGACAGGAAGAGAGAAUUUUACAAUGAACUUCUCAUAGCAGAUUACUUCUGUGAUAAUCCUACCUAUCCUGAUUACUACUUCCGUAGAAGGUUCCGCAUGGGAAAACCCCUCUUUCUACGCAUUGUUCAAGCUCUUGGUGAGUGGUCUCCCUACUUCACUCAAAGGGUAGAUGCCCUAGGCCGUCCAGGUCUAUCACCUUUACAGAAGUGCACAGCAGCCAUGCAUAUGUUGGCGUAUGGUGUUCCUGCUGACAAAACAGAUGACCAUAUAAGACUUGGUGCAUCUACGGCACUCGAGUCUCUUGAGAAAUUUGCUAAGGGGGUCAUUGCCAAGUUUGGUGGGGAAUAUUUGCGAAGGCCAACUGUUGAAGACAUUCAACGUCUACUAGAAAUUGGCGAAGCACGUGGUUUUCCUGGUAUGCUAGGAAGCAUAGACUGCAUGCAUUGGGAGUGGAAAAACUGUCCUGUUGGAUGGAAGGGGCAGUUUACACGUGGUGACUAUGGUGUCCCUACCAUCAUCCUUGAGGCUGUUGCAUCCCAUGAUCUAUGGAUAUGGCAUGCCUUCUUUGGUGUCCCAGGAUCCAACAAUGACAUCAAUGUGCUCAAUCAGUCGCCAUUGUUCACUGAAACAUUGCAAGGGAAUGCUCCUAGGGUAGACUACUAUGUCAAUGAGCAACAAUACAAGAAGGGAUAUUAUCUUGCAGAUGGAAUAUAUCCGGAGUGGGCUGUUUUUGUGAAAACCAUUCGGCUGCCUCAAACUGAAAAGGACAAGUUAUUUGCGAAGAAACAAGAAGGUGCGAGAAAGGAUGUUGAACGUGCAUUUGGAGUUCUACAACAACGCUUCAAAAUUGUCGCAGAACCAUCACGGCUUUGGGAUCAAAUAGAUAUCUGCAACAUAAUGGAAGCAUGUGUGAUCAUGCACAACAUGAUACUUGAAGAUGAGAAGGGCGUGGAGUUACCCUUCGAUUUGAAUGAAGCUUUAGGAACAUCCACUGCUCUGCCGCCGACAGCGAUUAGUGGGGCUACACCUUUGUUCACCGACGUGAUUAGAAGAGAUGUUGAGAUACGUGACCGGUCCAUGCACAAUCGACUCAAGCAUGAUUUGGUUGAGCAUAUUUGGAAGAAAUUCGGUGAAGCUACAAACAACUAGUUGUAGUUUACAACUGUUGAUGCGUUGGUGUAUCUCUCUGUGUGUGUGUGUGUGUGUGAGAGAGAGAGAGAGAGAGAGAGGGUGUGUGUGUGUCUCUGUGUUAGAGAGAGAGAGAGAGCAGUGAGUUUUAAGACUAUGUUUGAAUUGUAUGUGUUGUCAAGUGUUUUAAGACUAUCUUUGAAUUUACUCUAAAUUAUGCAUACUGACUUGUGUUGUGUACUUGCUUGAAUUUCACUUAGUACUUCAGUUAAGUGUGAACUCGGCAUGUUAACUAUCUAUGUUAACUAUCAUAAUAACAAACAUUUUUCUUCUUUCAGCUGCAAUGGAAUACCGUCCUCCUAAUGGUUUCAUGAGCUUCCUUCAAGGCCAAAGUCAUCCAAACUUCACUUUGCCAGCCCCUCAGCAGCUUGGUUUCCAAUAUCCAAUGUUCUGCACGCAGCCGCCGCCACCACCAGCCAAGCACCACCCUCUUCCAUCAACGUCUAAUCCCAGGACCACAACUCCAUCGAACAAGCGAAAACGUGUCACAAUCGAUGUGGAAGCAGAUGAUGAAGAUAGACAGAGGUUGUACUAUACAAAAGAUGAGGACCUCAGAUUGGUAAGGCCCCCAAAUCCUCUUAUUCUUGUCAUGUAGACAUCAAAGAUAUCUCAUGUCUUGCUACCUAAAAUUUAUUUAGGCUGGCUCCUAGUUUUAUACUUUUGUACUUGCAUUUUGUCUUUUGUUUAAUUAAAUUUAACCGUAUACUUACUUCCUUUGUGCAGGUGAGUGCUUGGUUAAGCAAAUCUGUGAAUCCAAUCGAUGGGAAUGCCAAGAAGGGGGAAUACUACUGGAAGGAGGUUGUUGAUACAUACAACAGCACAACAGAGAGUGACCGACAAAGGGAUGUGAAGCACCUCAAGAACCAUUGGUACAAAACAACAAAGAAGGUAACCUCUUUCAAUGGCUGCUAUAACCAGAUGAGAGAUACCUAUGCGAGUGGCCGGUGUGAUAAACAAUUGAUGCAGCAAGCGCUAGACCUGUACCAAAGCCGCAAUGGGCACCAGUUCCUGUAUGUGCAUUGGUGGGAAGCUGUGAAAGACAGCCAAAAGUGGAAGAUUCAUGUAUACACAGAAGGAGAUGGAACAAAGAGGUCAGCACCAAUACCAACUGAGAAUGCUCAGCGUCCCCCAGGAACAAAGAGGGCGAAGAAAGCUACAGGAAAAGAUAAGGAAGCACCUACUGAGAUGAAUAACAUGAAAGAACAGAUUGAGGUCUUUCUACAAGCACAAGCUGAUGCUAAGGAGCGAACUGCUGAGAUGAUGGAAUUGCAGAGUCGAUUGUCUGCUCAGAAGGUAGAAGCUAAUCGACUUGCAUAUGAGGCAGCAAAGGAGAGGACAGUGGCCAAGUUAGCAGAGGAAAGAACAAAGUUGUUUGACAAGUUCACAGAUAUGUUGAAUGCUGACACAACAAGAAUGGAGCCAUGGGCAAAGGAGAUGCAUAUGAAGGCUGUUACAAGAUUGGGGGAUCAACUUUUCAAAAAGGAGGAAUAGAAGGUAUGUAAUAUUCCUGUGUGUGUCAUAUUCCUUUGUUCUCCAUCUUGAUUCCUGUCAUAUUCCUGUGUGUAUCCUAUUCUUGCAUUUUCCUAUUCCUGAUCUAAUUUUGUUCUCCCUGUAAGGUAUGAGGUUACUCCUUCCCUUGUCUCUUCUUGUUAGGAUUAAUAACUUAGAACACAUACCACUUGAUGUACUUUAGAAACAAAUGCUAGAAUCUGCAUGUGUUCGUUACGAAGUCCACAUAUAUGUUCCACUAAAAGUCUGCACUAUUGUUUUUGAAAUAUGCAUUGUACUCAGAAAUCUACACUGUACUGUACCCAGAAAUCUGCACUAUUGUUUUUAAAAUAUGCAUUGUACUCAUAAAUCUACACUGUACUGUACCCAAAAAUCUGCACUAUUGUUUGAAAUGCUAUUUUUUAAUUAGAAUGAUGGUUGUGCUAUAAAACUCACCUUCAGUUUUUAAAACUGUAGUUGCACUACAGCAGGAUACUUGUACUAUUGUCAGUUGCUCCAUGCAAAUUUAACAGGGAAUGCUCUAGCCAAACCAAAUGGCCAACUUAGAAAAAAUAUGUGUUUUCGACAUGCUUGUUAUUAUACUCUAACUUGUGGCUUGCUUCUCGUGUAGAUGUUCUACAUAUAUGUCAAAAAAGCGGAUUUCAUGUGCCAGGAAGCGUAGAAGAUGUGAGAGUUUUUUUUGGAAUGAGAAGAAUCAAAGGAUACAACAAAAAAUUCAGUCUGAAAUUUGAUUUGUGUGUUUACAAAUCUUUCCUUUAUGGGUAUUUGAAACCUUAAGAUUAUUCUGUUACUAUGGGAUUUUGUAGUGUCAUGGACAAGACAUACUGACACUGUUUGCAUAUCAAGAUUGUUGAUUUUUGUUUGGAAAUCAAGUUGUUUGAUAACUUUCAGUGUGUAUGCUUGUUGAUAUAGUGUGUAUGCUUGCUGAUAUUGUUAAUUCAAAUAGAU